rnacentral:rRNA from 1 species
GAUGAACGCUGGCGGCGUGCCUAAUACAUGCAAGUAGAACGCUGAAGGAGGAGCUUGCUCUUCUGGAUGAGUUGCGAACGGGUGAGUAACGCGUAGGUAACCUGCCUGGUAGCGGGGGAUAACUAUUGGAAACGAUAGCUAAUACCGCAUGACAACAGUUAUUGCAUGAUAACUGUUUAAAAGGGGCAACUGCUCCACUACCAGAUGGACCUGCGUUGUAUUAGCUAGUUGGUGAGGUAACGGCUCACCAAGGCGACGAUACAUAGCCGACCUGAGAGGGUGAUCGGCCACACUGGGACUGAGACACGGCCCAGACUCCUACGGGAGGCAGCAGUAGGGAAUCUUCGGCAAUGGACGGAAGUCUGACCGAGCAACGCCGCGUGAGUGAAGAAGGUUUUCGGAUCGUAAAGCUCUGUUGUAAGAGAAGAACGAGUGAGAGAGUGGAAAGUUCACACUGUGACGGUAUCUUACCAGAAAGGGACGGCUAACUACGUG